GGGUUAGUCGGGACCUAAGGCGAGGCCGUAAGGCGUAGUCGAUGGACAGCAGUUAAAUAUUCCUGCACCGGCUUGGGGUUAGUUGACAGUGACGGGGUGAGAAAGGUGGCUAAGUCAUCGAAAGACAGAGCCUAGACUUCGGUCGAAGCGUACCACCGGACGAUCCUCCGAGAAAAGCUAGUUAACAUGUGCCCCUAGUCGCCCGUACCGCAAACCGACACA
rnacentral:rRNA from 1 species